UGGGGAAUAUUGCACAAUGGGCGAAAGCCUGAUGCAGCGACGCCGCGUGGGGGAUGAAGGCUUUCGGGUUGUAAACCUCUUUCGCUAUCGAACAAGGCCCGCUUAGGGUGGGUUGAGGGUAGGUGGAGAAGAAGCGCCGGCUAACUACGUGCCAGCAGCCGCGGUAAUACGUAGGGCGCGAGCGUUGUCCGGAAUUAUUGGGCGUAAAGGGCUUGUAGGCGGCUUGUUGCGCCUGCUGUGAAAACGCGGGGCUUAACUUCGCGCGUGCAGUGGGUACGGGCAGGCUUGAGUGUGGUAGGGGUGACUGGAAUUCCAGGUGUAGCGGUGGAAUGCGCAGAUAUCUGGAGGAACACCGAUGGCGAAGGCAGGUCACUGGGCCAUUACUGACGCUGAGGAGCGAAAGCAUGGGUAGCGAACAGG
rnacentral:rRNA from 2 species